rnacentral:rRNA from 1 species
AGAGUUUGAUCCUGGCUCAGAACGAACGCUGGCGGCGUGGAUAAGACAUGCAAGUCGAGCGGGACAUUCAGGGUAGCAAUAUUCUGGAUGUUCAGCGGCGCAAGGGUGCGUAACACGUGGGUAAUCUGCCGUGAAGCCUGGAAUAACUCGCUGAAAGGCGAGCUAAUACCGGAUGUGAAGUUUGGAAGGCAUCUUUUGGACUUCAAAGCUGGGGACCGCAAGGCCUGGCACUUCACGAUGAGCCCGCGGCCUAUCAGCUAGUUGGUGGGGUAACGGCUCACCAAGGCUAAGACGGGUAGCUGGUCUGAGAGGACGACCAGCCACACUGGAACUGAGACACGGUCCAGACACCUACGGGUGGCAGCAGUCGAGAAUUUUUCACAAUGGGCGAAAGCCUGAUGGAGCGACGCCGCGUGGGGGAUGAAUGGCUUCGGCCCGUAAACCCCUGUCAUUUGCGAACAAGUUGUUUCACCUAACACGUGAAGCAUUGAUAGUAGCGAAAGAGGAAGGGACGGCUAACUCUGUGCCAGCAGCCGCGGUAAUACAGAGGUCCCGAGCGUUGUUCGGAUUCACUGGGCGUAAAGGGUGCGUAGGCGGUCGGGUAAGUCUGACGUGAAAUCUUCAAGCUCAACUUGGNNNNGGUCGGAUACUAUUCGGCUAGAGGAAUGGAGGGGAGACUGGAAUACUUGGUGUAGCAGUGAAAUGCGUAGAUAUCAAGUGGAACACCAGUGGCGAAGGCGAGUCUCUGGACAUUUCCUGACGCUGAGGCACGAAAGCCAGGGGAGCAAACGGGAUUAGAUACCCUAGUAGUCC